ncrna:unclassified sequences DTF805b RNA
UUGGAGCAAGCCGAAAAUCCUGAAAAGAGUAGGCA